AUUGAACGCUGGCGGCAUGCCUUACACAUGCAAGUCGAACGGCAGCAUGAUCUAGCUUGCUAGAUUGAUGGCGAGUGGCGAACGGGUGAGUAAUACAUCGGAACGUGCCCUGUGGUGGGGGAUAACUAGUCGAAAGAUUAGCUAAUACCGCAUACGACCUGAGGGUGAAGGUGGGGGACCGCAAGGCCGCAUGCUAUAGGAGCGGCCGAUGUCUGAUUAGCUAGUUGGUGAGGUAAAGGCUCACCAAGGCGACGAUCAGUAGCUGGUCUGAGAGGACGAUCAGCCACACUGGGACUGAGACACGGCCCAGACUCCUACGGGAGGCAGCAGUGGGGAAUUUUGGACAAUGGGCGAAAGCCUGAUCCAGCAAUGCCGCGUGUGUGAAGAAGGCCUUCGGGUUGUAAAGCACUUUUGUCCGGAAAGAAAUGGCUCUGGUUAAUACCUGGGGUCGAUGACGGUACCGGAAGAAUAAGGACCGGCUAACUACGUG
rnacentral:rRNA from 1 species